UACGUAGGGUGCGAGCGUUAAUCGGAAUUACUGGGCGUAAAGCGUGCGCAGGCGGUUUUGUAAGCCAGAUGUGAAAUCCCCGGGCUUAACCUGGGAAUGGCAUUUGGGACUGCAAGGCUUGAGUGCGGCAGAGGAGACUGGAAUUCCUGGUGUAGCAGUGAAAUGCGUAGAUAUCAGGAGGAAUACCGAUGGCGAAGGCAGGUCUCUGGGCUGACACUGACGCUCAUGCACGAAAGCGUGGGGAGCAAACAGGAUUAGAGUACCCUUG
rnacentral:rRNA from 1 species